CCAAUCCCCGAAGCGCUAGUGAACGUCGGCGAUAACUAUAAUCGUCCUAAGGUUCCGGAAAUUUCCUCGGAAGUUUUCGGAAGGACUGGGACGGUUAUAGGAAUGUGUGAAGAAAUGUGGAAGAAAAGGAAAAGUAAUUGCUUCUUUCGGAGAAAUCCGGAAGGUCCGAAAAUACUUAGCCAUAUGCUGGAAAAUCUGGAGUAUCUGAUGAUACUAUGGUAAAAUUAUUCCAUAGAAAUAUGGAAGAGUGAUGCCGAGUGAAAAAUCAAUCAGUGUGUCUCGCUUUAAUCGUGAGACGCCAGACAAUCAGCAGGAAAGACUGAAGACCGUUGGCUGGGUCAUCGGGUAUGUGGAUGGGGAAGGAUGUUUUUCAGUGAGUCUGCUCAGGAAUACCACCACGAAAAGUGGUUGGCAGACAUUUCCGGAGUUUGUGGUGACACAAAGCGGAAAGAGUAAGGCUUCAUUGGAAAUAUUGCGAGAUUUCUUCGGAUGCGGGAAGAUAUUUGUGAAUCGACGGUAUGAUAACCACCGAGAGCACAUCUAUCGAUACUGUGUCCGAUCACAAGAGGAACUUCGCGAAAAGAUCAUUCCUUUCUUUAUGGAAAAUCCGCUCCGAACCGCCAAACGAAAAGAUUUCGAGCAUUUUUCUUUUAUCCUCAAUCAGAUGAGACUCAAACGACAUCUGACGGAGACUGGUAUGCAUAUGAUUGCCAGAAGGAUUGAGAAAAUGAAUCACAAGAAAGCUUCCCGGUUUUUAGAAUCCUCAGAGACCAAAUGCUAAGCGCGUAAUCGAUACGUGAAAAGAGAGUCCGUGCUCAUCGGCGACGAUGAGAAUAACACUACAGAGCGAAAUUCCUUGACAGGUAAGUUCUGUCCCGCAUGAAAGGUGUAACGAUUUGGAAACUGUCUCAACGAACAUCCCGGUGAAAUUGCAAUGACGGUAAAGAUGCCGUCGACCUGCAGCAAGACGAAAAGACCCCAUGGAGCUUUACUAUAACUUGGUAUUGACUUAAAGUUUUUGUUGCCGAGCAUAGGUGGAAGACUUUGAAGCGCCCCUUCCGGGGGGCGUGGAGUCGACAAUUGGAAUACCACCCUGCAGAGAUUUUAAUUCUAACCUGCCGCCGUAAUCCGGCGGGGGGACAGUGCCUGGCGGGUAGUUUGACUGGGGCGGUCGCCUCCUAAAGAGCAACGGAGGCGUUUACUAAGGUUGGCUAGGUCCGGAUGGAAAUCGGGCCGAUAGCGCAAAAGCACAAGCCAGCUUUACUGAGAGACCGAUCAGUUAAUCAGUUACGAAAGUAGAAUUUAGUGAACCGACCAUCACUCGUAGGAGUGUGGAAGAUCAUCAGAUAAAAGUUACCCUGGGGAUAACAGGCUGAUCUUGCCCAAGAGUCCAUAUCGACGGCAAGGUUUGGCACCUCGAUGUCGGCUCAUCGCAUCCUGGGGGUGGAGAAGCUCCCAAGGGUUUGGCUGUUCGCCAAUUAAAGCGGUACGCGAGCUGGGUUCAAACCGUCGUGAGACAGGUUGGUUUCCUAUCUGCUGUGGGCGUGUGUGACUUGAGAGAGCUCUUUCCUAGUACGAGAGGACCGGAAAGAACAAACCUCUGGUGUACGAGCUGUUCCGCCAGGAGCACUGCUCGGUAGCUAUGUUUGGGUAGGAUAACCGCUGAAAGCAUCUAAGCGGGAAGCCAAACUCAAGAUAAGGUCACGGUUCUGAUUUAUCAGAACAAGAUUCCCUGGAAGAUGACCAGGUUGAUAGGCCGCAGGUGGAAGCGUGGUGACACGUUAAGCCAAGCGGUACUAAUGAAAUCUAAUGACUAUUUCU
rnacentral:rRNA from 1 species